GACGAACGCUGGCGGCGUGCUUAACACAUGCAAGUCGAACGGAAAGGCCCUGCUUUUGGGGGGUGCUCGGGUGGCGAACGGGUGAGUAACACGUGAGUAACCUGCCCUUGACUUUGGGAUAACUUCAGGAAACUGGGGCUAAUACCGGAUAGGAGCUCCUGCUGCAUGGUGUGGGUUGGAAAGUUUCGGCGUUUGGGGAUGGACUCGCGGUUUAUCAGCUGGUUGGUGGGGUAGUGGCUUACCAAGGCUUUGACGGGUAGCCGGCCUGAGAGGGUGACCGGCCACAUUGGGACUGGGAUCCGGCCCAGACUCCUACGGGAGGCAGCAGUGGGGAAUAUUGCACAAGGGGCGGAAGCCUGAUGCAGCAACGCCGCGUGCGGGAUGACGGCCUUCGGGUGGUAAACCGCUUUCGCCUGUGACGAAGCGUGAGUGACGGUAAUGGGUAAAGAAGCACCGGCUAACUACGUG
rnacentral:rRNA from 1 species